UGGGAAUAGCAAGAUGUUUCGGAGUCCGAGGUGUACCGGAACGGGAACCCGCAGCGCGUGCGUACCUGGUGACUCCCGCCUGAAUAUAUAGGCGGGUAGAGGGAACGUGGGGAAGUGAAACAUCUCAGUACCCACAGGAAGAGAAAGCAACAGCGAUUCCGUGAGUAGUGGCGAGCGAAAUCGGAAGAGGCUAAAACCUAGCGUGUGUGAUAGCCGGCAGGCGUUGCAUGUUUGGGGGGGGGUUUGUGGGGACUUUUUUUCGGGAUUUGUUUCUGCCCGAGCAGUCGACGUGACAAGAGGGGUAUAGACGAACGGUUUUUGAAAUGGCCGGUCAUAGAGGGGUGCGAACCCCCGUAGUCGAAAAUGCUUGUUCUUGGCGUGAAGAGUAUCCCAAGUAGCACGGGGGCCCGAGAAAUCCCCGUGUGAAUCUGUCAGGACCACCUGAUAAGCCUAAAUACUCCCAGAUGACCGAUAGCGGACAAGUACCGUGAGGGGAAAGGUGAAAAAGUACCCCCGGGGAGGGGGAGUGAAAAUAGUACCUGAAACCUUUGCUUUACAAAACCUUGGAGCCUCCUUAGUAGGGGUGACAGCGUGCCUUUUGAAGAAUGAGCCUGCGAGUUAGCGAUACGUGGCGAGGUUAACCCGUGUGGGGGUAGCCGUAGCCGAAA
rfam:Microbacterium sp. STBG005 Ion018_assembly_rep_c4061, whole genome shotgun sequence.